rnacentral:rRNA from 1 species
CCUACGGGAGGCAGCAGUGAGGAAUAUUGGUCAAUGGACGCAAGUCUGAACCAGCCAUGCCGCGUGCAGGAAGACGGCUCUAUGAGUUGUAAACUGCUUUUGUACGAGGGUAAACGCAGAUACGCGUAUCUGUCUGAAAGUAUCGUACGAAUAAGGAUCGGCUAACUCCGUGCCAGCAGCCGCGGUAAUACGGAGGAUUCAAGCGUUAUCCGGAUUUAUUGGGUUUAAAGGGUGCGUAGGCGGUCGGAUAAGUUAGAGGUGAAAUCCCGAGGCUCAACUUCGGAAUUGCCUCUGAUACUGUCAGGCUAGAGAGCAGUUGCGGUAGGCGGAAUGCAUGGUGUAGCAGUGAAAUGCUUAGAGAUCAUACAGAACACCGAUUGCGAAGGCAGCUUACCAAGCUACUUCUGACGUUGAGGCACGAAAGCAUGGGGAGCAAACAGGAUUAAAUACCCUAGUAGUC